AGCGAACGCUGGCGGCAGGCUUAACACAUGCAAGUCGAACGGAUCCUACGGGAUCAGUGGCGGACGGGUGAGUAACACGUGGGAACGUGCCCUUAGGUUCGGAACAACACAGGGAAACUUGUGCUAAUACCGGAUGUGCCCUUUUGGGGAAAGAUUUAUCGCCUUUGUAGCGGCCCGCGUCUGAUUAGCUAGUUGGUGAGGUCAGAGCUCACCAAGGCGACGAUCAGUAGCUGGUCUGAGAGGAUGGCCAGCCACACUGGGACUGAGACACGGCCCAGACUCCUACGGGAGGCUGCAGUGGGGAAUCUUGCGCAAUGGGCGAAAGCCUGACGCAGCCAUGCCGCGUGGAUGAUGAAGGUCUUAGGAUUGUAAAAUCCUUUCAGCGGGGACGAUAAUGACGGUACCCGCAGAAGAAGCCCCGGCUAACUUCGUGCCAGCCGCCGCAGUAAGAC
rnacentral:rRNA from 1 species